rnacentral:rRNA from 1 species
AUUGAACGCUGGCGGCAGGCCUAACACAUGCAAGUCGAGCGGAUGAAGGGAGCUUGCUCCUGGAUUCAGCGGCGGACGGGCGAGUAAUGCCUAGGAAUCUGCCUGGUAGUGGUUGAUAACGUCCGGAAACGGGCGCUAAUACCGCAUACGUCCUGAGGGAGAAAGUGGGGGAUCUUCGGACCUCACGCUAUCAGAUGAGCCUAGGUCGGAUUAGCUAGUUGGUGGGGUAAAGGCCUACCAAGGCGACGAUCCGUAACUGGUCUGAGAGGAUGAUCAGUCACACUGGAACUGAGACACGGUCCAGACUCCUACGGGAGGCAGCAGUGGGGAAUAUUGGACAAAGGGCGAAAGCCUGAUCCAGCCAUGCCGCGUGUGUGAAGAAGGUCUUCGGAUUGUAAAGCACUUUAAGUUGGGAGGAAGGGCAGUAAGUUAAUACCUUGCUGUUUCGACGUUACCAACAGAAUAAGCACCGGCUAACUUCGUG